rnacentral:rRNA from 1 species
AUUGAACGCUGGCGGCAUGCUUUACACAUGCAAGUCGAACGGCAGCGCGGGCUUCGGCCUGGCGGCGAGUGGCGAACGGGUGAGUAAUACAUCGGAACGUGCCCGGUAGUGGGGGAUAGCUCGGCGAAAGCCGGAUUAAUACCGCAUACGACCUGAGGGUGAAAGCGGGGGAUCUUCGGACCUCGCGCUAUUGGAGCGGCCGAUGGCAGAUUAGCGAGUUGGUGGGGUAAAGGCCUACCAAGGCGACGAUCCGUAGCUGGUCUGAGAGGACGACCAGCCACACUGGGACUGAGACACGGCCCAGACUCCUACGGGAGGCAGCAGUGGGGAAUUUUGGACAAAGGGCGAAAGCCUGAUCCAGCAAUGCCGCGUGUGUGAUGAAGGCCUUCGGGUUGUAAAGCACUUUUGGCGGGAACGAAAAGGACUGUGCCAAUACCACGGUUCGAUGACGGUACCCGCAGAAUAAGCACCGGCUAACUACGUG